AUCACAGCCUCCGCGGUCGGAGCGGGUCCUUCCACCAUGGAUUGUCGCUUUUGUAAACAGAGAAAACGAUGCCGCUCGAUGCCCUCCAUGCAGGACGCAGCAGCCGCUUUCUGUGAAUCAGGACUGACGUCACAUACGAAAGACAACUGUCACAGUCACGUCACCAGACUUGCAGCCAUUCACGUGGAGUUGCCUGAAUACAACGGCGAAGCUCCAGCCAAUGGAUCAGGGAGUGAUCAACAGCCUGAAGAUCGCCGAUCACUCCUUCAGAGAAUGUUGCAUUGUAUGGAGAGCAAUAAACAAUACACAGUGGAUAUCUGUCGUGCCUGACAGCUCGGCGCAGGAUUACUGCGAUGACAACGCGGAUGAGGCAAGCUUGCUAUCUACGCUGGGCAGUAAAGGUGUUUUUGUGGACAUGAGCACCUACGUCAGUGUCGAGCAAGAUGUGCCAAUGUGCGGAGAGGAUAUGGUAAACACUCUCAUUGAAGAGGUCCUUGAGCUGUUUUUAGAGCAUAAUUACGACGACGACAAGUACGGACGCUAGAUCGGAGCCUGCACCGAUGACCUGUGAGGCGGUAGAUGCCUGCUUGAACUCCCUAGUUGACUUUUUCCAACAGCACGAAGGCACAGGAUUUUUAAGGUCAUUAGCUGAGAUUAUGUCGUUUGUGGCUGCUCGGCUAUUUGCACAGAAGCAA